UUAAUGACAUGAGUCAGGGGCUUGUUUCUGCACCAGAAGACCAAUAAGCCUCCCGGUGACAGAUAGGGUCUGUCACCCCAUUCGUCAAACUCUACGUCAUGUCACCUCAUGAUAUUCCCAAUGAUGCCUUACAGUCGCCAUAUGCACAACGGCCUCCGUAGUACGCAGCUGAGUGUGAAACAUAUGGAGAGAGUAAAAGGCUGUGCUAAUGUCUGCUGGAGUCAACGAUUCCUAAGUGGAGGGUCUGUGCCAUUUUGCUUUUCCUUCUUUCUUAUAAUUUUCUGCAGAUUCUUCAUUUUCUACAGGGCAUGUCUCACUCCGUUCAGCUUUCUGUAACAAAAUACCAUAGACUGGGUGGCUUAUAAACAACAGGAAUCUAUUUCUCUCAGUUCUGGAGGCUGGAAGUCCAAGAUUAAGGUGCCUGCAGAUUUGGUGUCUGGUGAAGCCACCUCCCCAUUGGACAGCCGUCUGUCUUUUUGCUGGGUGGCAUGUGGCAGAGGGGGUGAGGGGUCUCUCCCUGGCCUCUUUCAUAAGGAAACUAAUUCCAUUCAUGACCUAAUCACCUCCCCUUGUCCUAGCAUCAUCAGCCUGGGGAUGAGGUUUCACCUCCCCUCCUCCUAGUAUCACCAGCCUGGGGAUGAGGAUUCACCUCCCCUCCUCCUAGUAUCACCAGCCUGAGGACGAGAGGCCUCGCCAGUGACUGACCACGUGGAGGCACAGAAGGCGUCCCCUGGCCUCAGGGCAGGCCCACCCCAGGGUGCAGCAGGUGUGCCAAGGCCUCACCUCCCCAUGACAAACGCCCAGCAAAGAGGCAGUGAGUGUGGCAUGGGGGUAGGCCACUCAGCUCUGCUCCUGCCCAACUGUGCAACCUUAAGCAAGUGCCUGCACCUCUCUGAGCCUCGGUCUGUCCCUCUGUGGAAUGGUAUGACCAGAGCAGUUCACCCACCUCCAAGGUGUCAGCCUGUCUGUGAGUCAAACAAGGCCAGAGUGCCUGGCAGCCGGGCACCUCACUCAGUCCACAGCUGUUGUGAU
rnacentral:lncRNA from 10 species